GACGAACGCUGGCGGCGUGCCUAAUACAUGCAAGUAGAACGCACAGUUUAUACCGUAGCUUGCUACACCAUAGACUGUGAGUUGCGAACGGGUGAGUAACGCGUAGGUAACCUGCCUGGUAGCGGGGGAUAACUAUUGGAAACGAUAGCUAAUACCGCAUAAUAUUAAUUAUUGCAUGAUAAUUAAUUGAAAGGUGCAAUUGCACCACUACCAGAUGGACCUGCGUUGUAUUAGCUAGUAGGUGAGGUAACGGCUCACCUAGGCGACGAUACAUAGCCGACCUGAGAGGGGGAUCGGCCACACUGGGACUGAGACACGGCCCAGACUCCUACGGGAGGCAGCAGUAGGGAAUCUUCGGCAAUGGACGAAAGUCUGACCGAGCAACGCCGCGUGAGGGAAGAAGGGUUUCGGAUCGUAAAGCUCUGUUGUAAGAGAAGAACGGGUGUGAGAGUGGAAAGUUCACACUGUGACGGUAUCUUACCAGAAAGGGACGGCUAACUACGUG
rnacentral:rRNA from 1 species